UCCGAUUUGCAUCGGCAGUCUCACUAAAGUACCCAACUUAAUGAUGGCAACUAGUGACAAGGGUUGCGCUCGUUGCGUCACUUAAGACAACAUCUCACGACACGAGCUGACGACAGCCAUGCAGCACCUGUGUUUAGGUUCCCGAAGGCACUCGGAUAUCUCUACCCAAUUCCUAACAUGUCAAGAGCAGGUAAGGUUUUUCGCGUUGCAUCGAAUUAAUCCACAUCAUCCACCGCUUGUGCGGGUCCCCGUCAAUUCCUUUGAGUUUUAAUCUUGCGACCGUACUCCCCAGGCGGUCUACUUCUCGCGUUAGCUUCGCUACUGAGGUUACCCCCAACAGCAAGUAGACAUCGUUUAGGGCGUGGACUAC
rnacentral:misc_RNA from 1 species